GACGAACGCUGGCGGCGUGCUUAACACAUGCAAGUCGAACGAUGAAGCCUAGCUUGCUAGGUGGAUUAGUGGCGAACGGGUGAGUAAUACGUGAGUAACCUACCUUUAACUCUGGGAUAAGCCUGGGAAACUGGGUCUAAUACCGGAUACGACCAAUCUCCGCAUGGGGUGUUGGUGGAAAGCGUUAUGUAGUGGUUAUAGAUGGGCUCACGGCCUAUCAGCUUGUUGGUGAGGUAACGGCUCACCAAGGCGACGACGAGUAGCCGGCCUGAGAGGGUGACCGGCCACACUGGGACUGAGACACGGCCCAGACUCCUACGGGAGGCAGCAGUGGGGAAUAUUGCACAAUGGGCGCAAGCCUGAUGCAGCGACGCCGCGUGAGGGAUGACGGCCUUCGGGUUGUAAACCUCUGUUAGCAGGGAAGAAGAGAAAUUGACGGUACCUGCAGAGAAAGCGCCGGCUAACUACGUG
rnacentral:rRNA from 1 species